ensembl:lncRNA
GGAGAGGUCUCUUGUUUCUUUUGUAAUUUCAAUGGUACAGACUAUUGGUGCUAUAAAUACGUUCACAAAUAUUUUGAAGUUGCAGUUUUAUUAUAUGACUCUUGAUUUACAGAUUAUACAAAUUUUGUUUGUUGUCCCUCAGAUAACCUAUAAGAAAUUAAUAGAAAACUUGCCCUUCCUGGUUAAUUUGGCUGGAUUUUAUUUUAAUGAAGCCUACCAGUAGUUCACCUGUAACAGCAGAAGGAGAAAUACUUGCAGGUAGUAAGUCUUCAUUUUCUGUCCAUCCUUGGAAAGGCCAAAACUGGUUCUCCCUGCUGUAGCUAAACAGAUUAAUAGCAGUGUAAGUGGUGGAGCAAAUGUUCAAACCAAAAACAGGCGUAACUACACUAAGGUACAAAUGCUUUUUGUUCUCCAUAUGGGUUUUAUUUUUUAUUUUAUUUUUUUUGUGUUUACUAUAUCAUGUUGAAAUGACAUUAAGUAAUGUCACUGUGUGUGUGUGUGUUGGCAUAGAACUUGUGAAAGCACUGGUUCAGAGUGAGUGGUUGUUUUUUUGUUUUUUGUUUUUUUUUCUUUUGUUUUGUUUGUUUGUUUGUUUGUUUUUAAAUAUAUGUCUAUGUUGAGCUUCACCUUCAUUAAUAUGGCCUAGCUUGAACUAAAACCCUGACCAAAUUGGCUACCAAUUUGACGUGGCACACAUGCCUCAAUGUGUGACCUUUGCAUUUGAAACCCCAAACUAUUUGCAGAUAAGCAUGUUUCCUAAAAGGUGUUUUUCUGUCUGAUCUUUUAUUAUUUUCUCAUUUGAGGAUAGUAGCAGUGUGUGUAUAUAUUCUUUUUUUAUUUUCAGACUUAAUUUUUUUUUUUUUUUUUUUUUGGUCACACCAUACCCCAAACUGAAGCACAGAUUACCAAAAUCAUCCCUCUGUCAUGGGUACAUGUCAGCAGUGUACACUGUAAUGCACUGUCACAGGUAAAGGUGUUUUUAUUUUGGGCAUGGCUUUGACAUGGCUCUGUAGAAAAUUAAGAUUUGAAGGUCCAAAGUUUUAGUCCAAUGCCGCUUGAUUUUUAAAAAAGGGCCCCCAAGUAGCUGAAUGGAAGGUACUCAACUUCAGGGUUUUUGUCACCUUUCUUUGAGACACUCAGGAAUUUUUUAAUAUAAGCAUACUGCAUAGUCUACACUCAGACCUGUGGCAGUGCAUUGAUGCAUCAAUGUAAAACAUUUUCUUUGAUUGUUGAACAAGUUAUUGACAGGAGUUCUUUCCAAAUAGCAGAGGUGACUUUCAUUAAUUUAGAGCUGUAGUUUUAGGAGGGGGGAAAAAAGAACUAAGCCAUUGUAAAUUGCAUAAGCAAUGUGGAAGGGAGUCCCACGAGCCCCGAGUCCUAUGCAAUACCUUGGCGCAUGGAAACAUUGAAGAGAAUAUGGAGAAAUGUCAUUUAGUUACUUUUGCAUGUGGAUCGCUUUUGAGUGAGGAACACAUGAGACAGAAAAAAAACAAACUUAUGGAAUGUCUCUAAAAAUACAGCAUGCAAACAUCACACUCCAUCUUUUUUAGUUGGAUUAUUAUGGGUAAAAAAAAAUAAACUUGCGAGGUUAAAGUGAUUGAAAGAAUGUUAUGACUGUGUGUGUGAAACUGUCAGUGAAUGUGUGCAAGAAAUCACAAAAGACACUUACUUGGGAGUUCUGUAUUUAACUCUUCCAUUUUGAUAGGCUGUGUUUGAAACAAAACAUUUGACGAGUAAACGCAUUCAGAGAGGGUUUAUGUGUUUGGAGAGACUUCUUACAAGCAAACUUUCAACUGCGCUGUGGUCUGAAGAGCAUAUCCAGCACAGAAAACCCAAGUUUUCCUCGUCUGUUCAUUCCCAAAUAGAUGAUGCUCCUUUGCCCUCCCUCUUCUCUAUGUUCCUGAACCCUAUGUGUCCUGAGUAGCUGUGUUCUUAUUUCAUGUUCACCCUGAGCAAAUUAUUUUGUUUCAUUGUGGAUUUUCUUAACAUCUAAUAAAGGAUUAAACCAAAAUGCAGUCUGUAGGUUCCUGUGUCUUUGCAUUAUCCAGAGUGUUGAAAGGAAGUAAGAGCAGCAUUACAUUUUAGCUCGCCAGCCUCACGGUGACACCAGAGAGCAGGUGAGGCACUGCCAGCUGCUUAAGUAUUUAUAGCACAUGUCAGACUGCAGCUUUUAUUCUUGUGGACAAUGUUUUUAAGAUCCUGUAUACUUUUGUGUACCAAAGGUGGUUUUUCCAAUAGAUUAUUGGAUGGUUUUUGAAAGGCUAAUAUAACAGCAACAGCCUUGCUUCAGUGCAAUGGAAAAUAAUUUAUCCAUUGCACUGAAGAAUUGUGACUAAAUAUUUAACAUUACGUUAUGAGAUUAUCCACACAUACACAUUUAGAUUUUAUAUUUCUAAUGUAACAGAAUAAAAUGAAUGUGAUAUUUGUGGUUGUCAAACAAACCCAAUGUGUUUAUAAGAUGUAG